ensembl:lncRNA
CACUCAGUCUUCCUUCCUGCUGCAGCUCCUGACAGAGCUCGCUGGGUUGGUUUUUUGCUGUUUUAUUUUUUUAAAAAAAUGUGAUUUUGCACAGCCUGGCUGCCAGAGGGGGAGCGCUGAGAGCUGAGCUCAACCCCCCAGGAGUGAAAAUUAUGAAAUUUCCACCCAGAUUUCAUUUCCAGCCCCCCCUCCAAGGAUUUUAGGACUGCUUGAAAUGACUGAAAUCUCCUUUUUUUUAAAAUUUUAUUUUGUCUCCUUUAACCCUUUCACAGCCAAGCUGGGCAGCCUCGCCGUGGGUUUUGUUUUUUGUUUUUUAAUUUUAUUUUCAUUUCUCUUUCAAAGCAGGAUUUAAGAGUUUUGAACAAACCUCUUUGCAGUUGCUUCAUCUGCCUUGGAACUGUUUUUCACACUUGCCUUUGUUUGGGAAUGUCAGUCCUGUGCUGUGACACUUUUUUUGCUGUGUGGAAUUUUUUGGUCCUUUUUCAGACGUAAUUUGGUGCUUAUUCCCCUAAAUUAACGCUGCCUUUGGGCUGGAUUCUGAAUGGGGUUUUGGUUUUUGUUUUUUUUUAAAUUUUAUUUCCUUUUCAUCCCCUUCCUGAUGUGAAUCCCACCUCAGGAAAGGCUGGAAUUGAACCCCCGAGGGUGCACUGUAAAUAGAAUUAUGGAAAAAUUAAAAAUUAGGGGUUCUGAUGGGAUUUGGAGGGUUUUUGGUCCAAAUUUUAGUUCCCUCUUUGCUGUCUUAAGGUGUGGAGCUGAAAAAGCCACGACCCAAAUGCAGCUAAAAAAUACUUUAAAAAAAUCAAAAAUCAAAAUACUUCAAAAAUACUUUAAAAAGGACUUCAAGGGCAUCAUCAGCUUCGUUUUGUGGGCAUUAAAUUGGUUUUUUUCUCUCUUAAUAAGCACUUAAGUUUACUGCUGAUUAGGAAUUAAACACAAAUUACUUUUUAUUCCUGACAGUUUUUAAAAAACAAACAAACAAACAAACAAAAAAAAAAAUCUGCAUUGAAUCUGCAACUUUGACCUGGUAAGUUUGCCCUUCUCCUUUUGGGGGAAGUAGCUUGGAAUUUUUUAUUCUCUUGAAAUCAUCUAUUAAAAAAGAAAAAUUUAAAUUAAAUAAAUAAAGAGGAGAAGAAAGGGGGAGGAAGAGAGCAGGAGGUGGGUGAACCCCACAGAGCAAACCCAGAGAAAAGGGAGUGAAAAUGGCAAAAAAAAAACCCCAAAAAUCUCCUUUAUUGAAUUGCAGAAUAAUGAAUAAAGAAUCAAAAACCAGAAAUCCUAACAGAUCUGACAAAAACUGAGAGCAGGGAAAAUUUCCUUAUUCCAGACUCCUGCUGGGAUUAAAUUUGGGGUGAUCUGGGGGGGUCCCACAAAGAUUCUGCCCCUUCCUAUUAUGUUCGAAGUGAUUAAAUGUGAUUUUCUCACCUAAUAAUGUUUUACCCAGCUAUGUAACUUUGUUUAACAGAAGCAUUUUUGUAUAUUGUUUACAUUUGGAGAAGUAGCAUUUACCUUCCAAAUGCUCAUUUUUUGUUUCUAGACAGUAUUUUUUUCUUAACAGAACGAGAAGCUGCAAAUAUUUUGAUUUGUUUUUAAAAGGGACUUUUUCUUUCUGUUUGUUUUCUUUUUGUUUUGCUUUGUUUUGUUGGUUUUUUUUUCUUUAAAAUCUUGUUUUAGGUCACUUUUUUAACAUGAGUAUUUAAAAAAAAAAAAAAAAAA